AGAGUUUGAUCCUGGCUCAGGAUGAACGCUGGCGGCGUGCCUAAUACAUGCAAGUCGAGCGAACGGACGAGAAGCUUGCUUCUCUGAUGUUAGCGGCGGACGGGUGAGUAACACGUGGAUAACCUACCUAUAAGACUGGGAUAACUUCGGGAAACCGGAGCUAAUACCGGAUAAUAUUUUGAACCGCAUGGUUCAAAAGUGAAAGACGGUCUUGCUGUCACUUAUAGAUGGAUCCGCGCUGCAUUAGCUAGUUGGUAAGGUAACGGCUUACCAAGGCAACGAUGCAUAGCCGACCUGAGAGGGUGAUCGGCCACACUGGAACUGAGACACGGUCCAGACUCCUACGGGAGGCAGCAGUAGGGAAUCUUCCGCAAUGGGCGAAAGCCUGACGGAGCAACGCCGCGUGAGUGAUGAAGGUCUUCGGAUCGUAAAACUCUGUUAUUAGGGAAGAACAUAUGUGUAAGUAACUGUGCACAUCUUGACGGUACCUAAUCAGAAAGCCACGGCUAACUACGUGCCAGCAGCCGCGGUAAUACGUAGGUGGCAAGCGUUAUCCGGAAUUAUUGGGCGUAAAGCGCGCGUAGGCGGUUUUUUAAGUCUGAUGUGAAAGCCCACGGCUCAACCGUGGAGGGUCAUUGGAAACUGGAAAACUUGAGUGCAGAAGAGGAAAGUGGAAUUCCAUGUGUAGCGGUGAAAUGCGCAGAGAUAUGGAGGAACACCAGUGGCGAAGGCGACUUUCUGGUCUGUAACUGACGCUGAUGUGCGAAAGCGUGGGGAUCAAACAGGAUUAGAUACCCUGGUAGUCCACGCCGUAAACGAUGAGUGCUAAGUGUUAGGGGGUUUCCGCCCCUUAGUGCUGCAGCUAACGCAUUAAGCACUCCGCCUGGGGAGUACGACCGCAAGGUUGAAACUCAAAGGAAUUGACGGGGACCCGCACAAGCGGUGGAGCAUGUGGUUUAAUUCGAAGCAACGCGAAGAACCUUACCAAAUCUUGACAUCCUUUGACAACUCUAGAGAUAGAGCCUUCCCCUUCGGGGGGCAAAGUGACAGGUGGUGCAUGGUUGUCGUCAGCUCGUGUCGUGAGAUGUUGGGUUAAGUCCCGCAACGAGCGCAACCCUUAAGCUUAGUUGCCAUCAUUAAGUUGGGCACUCUAAGUUGACUGCCGGUGACAAACC
rnacentral:rRNA from 1 species